AUUGAACGCUGGCGGCAGGCUUAACACAUGCAAGUCGAGCGAGCGGCGGACGGGUGAGUAAUGUCUGGGCACCUGCCUGAUGGAGGGGGAUAACUACUGGAAACGGUAGCUAAUACCGCAUACCAUCAGAUGUGCCCAGAUGGGAUUAGCUAGUAGGUGGGGUAAUGGCUCACCAAGGCGACGAUCCCUAGCUGGCCUGAGAGGAGGACCGGCAACACGGGAACUGAGACACGGUCCAGACUCCUACGGGAGGCAGCAGGAGGGAAUAUUGUACAAUGGGAGAAAGUCUGACACAGCAAGGCCGCGUGAGUGAAGAAGGCUUUCGGGUUGUAAAACACUUUUGGCGGGGAGGCGGUACUCUAAGAAGAAGCACCGGCUAACUCCGUGCCAGCAGCCGCGGUAAUAC
rnacentral:rRNA from 1 species